rfam:Desulfosporosinus sp. BRH_c37 BRHa_1004682, whole genome shotgun sequence.
CAGACGAUAUCGAAAGAAUUGUACUGUUAUAGGUGGCUGACUUAUUUAUCCGGAUUAGCGAAAGACAGGACGGAUAGAAUAAUCGAAAAGACACUAAAAUGAAUACAGGAAUAAUGACCGCUUGGAUCCAAUGACCGAGACGGAGGG